rnacentral:rRNA from 1 species
CUCAGAUUGAACGCUGGCGGCAGGCCUAACACAUGCAAGUCGAGCGGAAACGAGUUAUCUGAACCUUCGGGGAACGAUAACGGCGUCGAGCGGCGGACGGGUGAGUAAUGCCUAGGAAAUUGCCCUGAUGUGGGGGAUAACCAUUGGAAACGAUGGCUAAUACCGCAUGAUGCCUACGGGCCAAAGAGGGGGACCUUCGGGCCUCUCGCGUCAGGAUAUGCCUAGGUGGGAUUAGCUAGUUGGUGAGGUAAGGGCUCACCAAGGCGACGAUCCCUAGCUGGUCUGAGAGGAUGAUCAGCCACACUGGAACUGAGACACGGUCCAGACUCCUACGGGAGGCAGCAGUGGGGAAUAUUGCACAAUGGGCGCAAGCCUGAUGCAGCCAUGCCGCGUGUGUGAAGAAGGCCUUCGGGUUGUAAAGCACUUUCAGUCGUGAGGAAGGUAGUGUAGUUAAUAGCUGCAUUAUUUGACGUUAGCGACAGAAGAAGCACCGGCUAACUCCGUGCCAGCAGCCGCGGUAAUACGGAGGGUGCGAGCGUUAAUCGGAAUUACUGGGCGUAAAGCGCAUGCAGGUGGUUUGUUAAGUCAGAUGUGAAAGCCCGGGGCUCAACCUCGGAAUAGCAUUUGAAACUGGCAGACUAGAGUACUGUAGAGGGGGGUAGAAUUUCAGGUGUAGCGGUGAAAUGCGUAGAGAUCUGAAGGAAUACCGGUGGCGAAGGCGGCCCCCUGGACAGAUACUGACACUCAGAUGCGAAAGCGUGGGGAGCAAACAGGAUUAGAUACCCUGGUAGUCCACGCCGUAAACGAUGUCUACUUGGAGGUUGUGGCCUUGAGCCGUGGCUUUCGGAGCUAACGCGUUAAGUAGACCGCCUGGGGAGUACGGUCGCAAGAUUAAAACUCAAAUGAAUUGACGGGGGCCCGCACAAGCGGUGGAGCAUGUGGUUUAAUUCGAUGCAACGCGAAGAACCUUACCUACUCUUGACAUCCAGAGAACUUUCCAGAGAUGGAUUGGUGCCUUCGGGAACUCUGAGACAGGUGCUGCAUGGCUGUCGUCAGCUCGUGUUGUGAAAUGUUGGGUUAAGUCCCGCAACGAGCGCAACCCUUAUCCUUGUUUGCCAGCGAGUAAUGUCGGGAACUCCAGGGAGACUGCCGGUGAUAAACCGGAGGAAGGUGGGGACGACGUCAAGUCAUCAUGGCCCUUACGAGUAGGGCUACACACGUGCUACAAUGGCGCAUACAGAGGGCGGCCAACUUGCGAAAGUGAGCGAAUCCCAAAAAGUGCGUCGUAGUCCGGAUUGGAGUCUGCAACUCGACUCCAUGAAGUCGGAAUCGCUAGUAAUCGUGGAUCAGAAUGCCACGGUGAAUACGUUCCCGGGCCUUGUACACACCGCCCGUCACACCAUGGGAGUGGGCUGCAAAAGAAGUAGGUAGUUUAACCUUCGGGGGGACGCUUACCACUUUGUGGUUCAUGACUGGGGU